rnacentral:rRNA from 1 species
UGGGGAAUAUUGGACAAUGGGGGGAACCCUGAUCCAGCCAUGCCGCGUGUGUGAAGAAGGCCUUAUGGUUGUAAAGCACUUUAAGCGAGGAGGAGGGUACUGGUAUUAAUACUACCAGCUACUGGACGUUACUCGCAGAAUAAGCACCGGCUAACUCUGUGCCAGCAGCCGCGGUAAUACAGAGGGUGCGAGCGUUAAUCGGAUUUACUGGGCGUAAAGCGUGCGUAGGCGGCUAAUUGAGUCGGAUGUGAAAUCCCCGAGCUUAACUUGGGAAUUGCAUUCGAUACUGGUUAGCUAGAGUGUGGGAGAGGAUGGUAGAAUUCCAGGUGUAGCAGUGAAAUGCGUAGAGAUCUGGAGGAAUACCGAUGGCGAAGGAAGACAACUGGACUAAAACUGACGCUGAGGUACGAAAGCAUGGGGAGCAAACAGG